GGUUUCUUUUGCAUUCAAGAAAAACACUCGUGGGAGUCUAAAUGUGCGAACACGUGAAGAAUGCUUUCAGGCAAAGAAAGGCGUUUUUUUCUCCUCCUGCUCUGACAAAAGGCUGAAGAUGACUGUCGGUACGAAGGAAACGCAAGCAGACGUUUGAGCGAUGCAAAUCCAUAAGCAGAGGUGUGUUUCUAAUUGCUCCUGUAGGUUAAUUGUCUGAUUAAAAUGAAGUUCUGUCAAAGAGAAGAAAUCAUUUCCUCAAGGUUUCACUAAAGGAAGACGUCCGUAAAGCAGCAGUUUAAUCCUGAUUAAAACAAACGCUCAGUGAUUACCAAGAUCUGUCCUUGAAACAACGUGAGUCAAACUUUGGCCUCUGAGGGAGCGCACGGCUCACAUGAUUCCUGUUUAAUUAAAACAGACGAAGAUCACACAAAGAACAUGAUGUUGGACUGAGAGGAAGUUCACUGUGGAGGACGGAGAAAAACUACGAACUCUCGGAGGUCGUCAAACUCCAUCAGUCAGAUUCUAAACAUAAAUUCAUAUAAAAUAUUUUCGUCAAUGAAAACAAGACUGCAGCUCAGGGUUUAUGUGUCCCGACCAGAAGGCUGUAAUACCGACUCAAGUCAUGCUUCCAUGUUGUGGAUUCAGUCAGGUGUAAUCCUGUUGAGUUGAUCACUGAUCUCCUGACAGUUCAGAGUCACGUUUUUACCGUCUUGAAUAAAAGAGGAAGUUGAAGUUCCUGCUGAUUUCCUUAAAAUCAUUACAGACGUGUUUACGACUCUUCCCCCCACGCUGCUACACAGCAUUAUCAUUAACGUGUUGCUAUGACAACGUUUCGACCAAUACAUGCUGAUCCCACUUUUUCACAUGCGUUGAAAAACAGUUUUUGUUUUACACUCGGAGUGAAAUCUGCCGGACGACGGCGGCUCAAAUUGUCCAUAAUCUCUUGUUGGACGUCAGUAAUGAGGGGGUGAAGGACCGUGAGAAACACGUCUGUUCAAGUCUGGGGGGGCGGGGCCUUAAAACAAACGUAAAAACCCUCCUGAUGGGGUGAAUAACCUUCCUGUCACCUGACUCCAGGGUUUUUUUGCGAGUCACAUGUUGCAUGAAUUGAACGUUCUCGUAGAUCGUCUCUAUCUGCGACGUUUUCUCCGAUGUUUUCGUCCCUGAAUCUGGAUUUGUUUUUCUUUCCUGCAGGUCAGUUUCCUCCCCUGACUGGUUUCCUCUCCUCGAGCCGACUGUUCUGAAUUUAGCCUCACGCUGAC